UACGGGGGGGCGGAAGCGUUGUUCGGUAAUUACUGGGCGUAGAGGGUUCGUAGGUGGCCUACUAAGUCAGACGUGAAAUCCCUCAGCUUAACUGGGGAACUGCGUCUGAUACUGGAUGGCUUGAGUUUGGGAGAGGGACGCGGAAUUCCAGGUGUAGCGGUGAAAUGCGUAGAUAUCUGGAGGAACACCGGUGGCGAAGGCGGCGUCCUGGACCAACACUGACACUGAGGAGCGAAAGCCAGGGGAGCAAACGGG
rnacentral:rRNA from 1 species